UACAGAGGGUGCAAGCGUUGUUCGGAAUUAUUGGGCGUAAAGGGAGUGUAGGCGGCUCUUUAAGUCUUCUGUGAAAUCUACGGGCUUAACCUGUAACGUGCAGAGGAUACUGAGGAGCUUGAGUGUCGGAGAGGAUAGUGGAAUUCCCGGUGUAGAGGUGAAAUUCGUAGAGAUCGGGAGGAACACCAGUGGCGAAGGCGACUGUCUGGACCGUAACUGACGCUGAGGCGCGAAAGCGUGGGGAGCAAACAGG
rnacentral:rRNA from 1 species